rnacentral:rRNA from 1 species
CCCUUAGAUGUUCUGGGCCGCACACGCGCUACACUGAAGGAGGCAGCGUGUACUCCUGGAUCGAAAGAUUUGGGUAACCCGCGAAUCUCCUUCGUGCUAGGGAUUGAGGUUUGCAAUUAUCCUUCAUGAACGAGGAAUUCCCAGUAAGUGCAAGUCAUAAGCUUGCGCUGACUACGUCCCUGCCCUUUGUACACACUGCCCGUCGCUACUACCGAUUGAAUGAUUUAGUGAGGACUUCGGACUGGGACCGAUGCGGCUUUCGGGCUGCGUCGGUAUUCUGGAAAGAUGUCCAAACUGUAUCAUUUAGAGGAAGUAAANGUCGUAACA